GACGAACGCUGGCGGCGUGCUUAACACAUGCAAGUCGAACGGAAAGGCCCUGCUUUUGUGGGGUGCUCGAGUGGCGAACGGGUGAGUAACACGUGAGUAACCUGCCCUUGACUUUGGGAUAACUUCAGGAAACUGGGGCUAAUACCGGAUAGGAGCUCCUGCUGCAUGGUGGGGGUUGGAAAGUUUCGGCGGUUGGGGAUGGACUCGCGGCUUAUCAGCUUGUUGGUGGGGUAGUGGCUUACCAAGGCUUUGACGGGUAGCCGGCCUGAGAGGGUGACCGGCCACAUUGGGACUGAGAUACGGCCCAGACUCCUACGGGAGGCAGCAGUGGGGAAUAUUGCACAAUGGGCGGAAGCCUGAUGCAGCAACGCCGCGUGCGGGAUGACGGCCUUCGGGUUGUAAGCCGCUUUCGCCUGUGACGAGGCGUGAGUGACGGUAAUGGGUAAAGAAGCACCGGCUAACUACGUG
rnacentral:rRNA from 1 species